AUAAAAACCGAAUCCGUUAAUGGAGCGGGGGAACCAUGGAGAACAGUGUUCUCACUUGGGGUGAAUGCCUUGUAUAAUCAGGGCUAGGGCAGUUCUUCUAUGUCCGAAUCCGUCAGCUAACCCCGUAGGAAAAAAUGAGAGGAG
rnacentral:sRNA from 1 species